GGAGAGAGAGGGCUUUGGGGAAUUCGUUGAAGAAUUGGGGGUUGAGGGCGUUUCUUUGAGAUGGGUAGUUGAGGUAGAGAGAAAAAAUACUAGAGUUUGGAGGCUCGGAUUGGAUCACGAAUUGGGGUUCCAUGAAUUCCUAGAGAGAGAGAGAGCAAAAAGGAAAUCAAUGAAAAAACAGAUAAAUCUUUGGAUAGAAAACCAAAGAGAGAGAGAAACGAGGGAAAAGAUGAAUAAGGUUUUCUCGAGAUUGGGACUUUGAAAGAUGGAAGAUGUUUCCUCUGUUGGACUUGGAUAUGGGCUGAUGAAAAUAAGAAUGCUUAUUUGAGUUAUGGAGAGACGGUGGGUGCAGGAGAGAGAGGACGUGUAGAGAGAGAUGGCGGGUGGAG
rnacentral:lncRNA from 1 species